rnacentral:rRNA from 1 species
AUUGAACGCUGGCGGCAGGCCUAACACAUGCAAGUCGAACGGUAACAGGAAACAGCUUGCUGUUUCGCUGACGAGUGGCGGACGGGUGAGUAAUGUCUGGGAAACUGCCUGAUGGAGGGGGAUAACUACUGGAAACGGUAGCUAAUACCGCAUAACGUCGCAAGACCAAAGAGGGGGACCUUCGGGCCUCUUGCCAUCGGAUGUGCCCAGAUGGGAUUAGCUAGGAGGUGGGGUAACGGCUCACCUAGGCGACGAUCCCUAGCUGGUCUGAGAGGAUGACCAGCCACACUGGAACUGAGACACGGUCCAGACUCCUACGGGAGGCAGCAGUGGGGAAUAUUGCACAAUGGGCGCAAGCCUGAUGCAGCCAUGCCGCGUGUAUGAAGAAGGCCUUCGGGUUGUAAAGUACUUUCAGCGGGGAGGAAGGGAGUAAAGUUAAUACCUUUGCUCAUUGACGUUACCCGCAGAAGAAGCACCGGCUAACUCCGUG